rnacentral:rRNA from 1 species
CAAGACAACCAGGAAGUUGGCUUAGAAGCAGCCACCUUUUAAAGAAAGCGUAACAGCUCACUGGUCAAGCGUUCCUGCGCGGAAAAUGUAACGGGGCUUAAGUGAUACACCGAAGCUGCGGGCUCGAAAGAGCGGUAGCGGAGCGUUCUGUAAGUCUGUGAAGGGUCACUGCGAGGUGGCCUGGAGAUAUCAGAAGUGAGAAUGUUGACAUGAGUAGCGAUAAAGGGAGUGAGAGACUCCCUCGCCGAAAGUCCAAGGGUUCCU